CCCAGGCUGCCGCGGGAGGGCGCCAUCUUGGCCCCGCGGAGCGUGACUGUCUCGGCUGGAAGCGUGGGAGGCUGGAGGCUCCGUGACUGGCUGUCGUGGACAUGCUCAAUACACCUCCCGGGGGUUCGCUUCGUUUACUAUUAACUGUCGUUACUCCUCUGUAUCUCGUCAGCAGGGGCAGCCUGCGGUGUUAGAAUUACACGUCCCUGCCACCUGGGCAGGGAGCCCAGUCUCCCGGCCCCUCAGUCAGUCCUUGGACGUAGCUGGAGCAUUUAAGAAAAAUGAAAUAUAGUAACUCAGUGCAUGGUUUCCUGGGCCUUUUUAUUGAGUAUCAUUUCUAACAUGUCCACAAUAUAACCCAGGCCUAGUGGAUUCUGGGACAGAAAUGUUGGAAGCUGGGAUAGUCAAGUAAACAAGAAGAAAUUGUAAAGAGAUGCCAAGUGGGAGAGGAAACUGUACGGAUGCAGAGAGAGGAUCUGGGGUUAGCCAAGUGAAGCAGUGGGAGUGAAGAAGGAACAAAGAAAUCUGUAAAGUAGUUGUGAUCAAUUAGUUGUAAACACCACUACACUCAGACUCAGACCAGCUUGCAUUGACUUUUAUGACCUAAUCUCAGAGGUUGUACAGCGUCACUUCCACUGUACUCUACUUGUUGACGCAGCUACAAAAACACCACAUUUAAGUAAAGGGGACACUAAUUGGGAGGAGUGUUAGUCACAUUAUAAGAAUAGCAUGUGGAAUGAGCGAUUACGUAGAGAUAUUAUUGCAGUCAUUUAAGGAAAAUAUAAUCUCCCAUAAUAUUAAUAUCUAUUUUCCUUUUGUAAAAAAAAAAUGUACCAUUUCAGGCUGAGCAUGUUGGCUCACGCCUGUAAUCAUAGCAUUUUGGGAGGCUGAGGCCGGUGGAUUCCCUGAGGUCAGGAAUUCAAGACCAGCCUGGCCGACAUGGCAAAACCUUGUCUCUGCUAAAAAUACAAAAAUUAGCCGGGUGUGGUGGCAGUCACCUAUAAUCCCAGCUACUCGGAAGGCUGAGGCAGGAGAAUCACUUGAACCCAGGGGCGGAGGUUGCAGUGAGCUGAUACCACCACUGCACUCCAGCCUGGGCAACAGAGUGAAACUUGGUCUCAAAAAAAACAAAACAAAACAAAAACUAAAAUAUACCAUUUCAGAUUUUUUUUCUGAAAUUAAACCUGAAAAGGUCAAAAAAACACAUAAAUUACAGUCCAUUUCAAUUACUUACCAUGUACAGGUAUUUUCUAAGUCUAUAUUAGUUCAGACUACAGUAGUUCAAAAUACCUUAUACAGGGCAGCUUAUAAAAAACAGAAGUUUAUUUCUCAUAGUUCUGAAGGCUGGGAAGUCCGGGUUCAAGUUUCUGGCAGAUUCAGUGCCUGUCGAGGGACUGCUUUUUAGUUCACAGAUAGUGUCUUCUAGCUGUCUCCUCAUGUGGUAGAAGGGUGCCUUUUUUAUUAGUACCCCUAGUUUUAUUUAUUUUAUUUUAUUUUUUAGAGACGGGUUUUACUGUGUUGCCCAGGCUAGCCUCAAACUCCUGGGCUUGAGCGAUCCUCCACCUCAGCCUUCCAAGUAGUUGGGACUACAGGCACACGUUAAAACACCUGGUUCCUAUUAGUGCUUCUUUUAUAAAGGCACUAAUCUCAUCUAUGGCACCAGAGCACUCAUGACCUAAUUAUCUCCCAAAGAUCCCAUCCCCUAACACCAUCAUAUUGGUGAUGAGGUUUCAAUACAUGAAUUUGGGGGGCUGGGGACACAAACAAUCAGACCACAGUAGCUGUUACGUUGAUAUGAGCUGGUAAGUGUUAACACCUGGCAGCAAUCAGCUACACAGCCAUAGGUGAAGGCAGGUGAUUAGAAUUACCAGCCAACACAUUUAUGUGCUAGCUAAUUUUUAUUCAAAACUUUCUGAAGCUACAUUCAAAGCAGUUAAUGGGAAAUGGAGUAAAAAAGUAGGCAACUUCUCACGCUAGAUAAUGCUGUUAAAAGUAAUUUUUCCUCCCAGUCCUCUCCUGUAAUGAAUAGUAUAAGAAGGUAUCCUCCCAACGUAGAGGCACCUUAUGUUUCCAAAGUUUUAAUUAGUUGUCGUGAUAAUUUUAUGUGUCAACUUGACUGGGUUAAGGGAUGCCCAAAUAGGUAGUAAAACAUUAUUUCUGGGUGUAUCUGUGAAGGUGUUUCUGGAUAAGAUUAACAUUUGAAUGGGUAGACUGAGUAGAGCAGACUGUCCUCUCCCUUGUGGGUGGCCCUUAUCCAAAUGGUUGAAGGCCAAAAUAGAACAAAAAAGCUGAGUAGAGAGGAUUCCCUCUGCCUGACUACCUUUGAACUGGGACGGUGGCUGUUUCCUGCCUUUGGACUUGAACUGAAACAUCAGCUCUUUCUGAGUCUUGAGCCUCCUGGCUUUUGAACUGAAACAACAGUAAUGGCUCUCCUGGUUCUCAGGCAUUUGGACUUGGACUAGAACUACACCAUCAGUUCUCCUGGGUCUCCAGCUUGCCAAUCUCCAGUUUGCCAACUGCAGAUCUUGGGACUUGUCAGCCUCCAUAACUCUAUGAACCAAUUUUUUGUAAUAAAUUUCUUUCUAUAUGUCUAUUUAUUCUAUUGGUUCUGUUUCUCUGGAGAACCCUAAUGCCAUAGGUCUCCUCCUCCCUCCUGCUCCCCAUCACACACCCUCAUGUGCCCCCAUGUGGCCUCUUACUAAACAGGGAGAGAACAGCUGGAGAAAUGGAAGCAUUUUGUAUUGGCAUACUGAAGACUAUAUUUCUCAGCUGCCUUUGCAGGCGGGCAGGGUCAUGUGACUAUUAUGACUAAUAAAAUGUGAGCAAAAGUGACGAGUCACUUGUGGGCUGAGGCAGUGAAAAGUUGUUUGUGAUUCUCAAAUGUCUCUUCUGUUCUGCCAUUGCAAUUGUGGAAGGAGCUUUAUGUUAAAAUGGAAGAGCCAAAAGAUUGAAGUAGUCUGUCUCAGUCACCAUAUGGGAGGGCAAAUGCCCUGGAAAACCACCCAGACACACAACAAGUUUGUAUGAAUAAGAAAUAAAACUUCGUUGUAUAAGUAA